rnacentral:rRNA from 1 species
GUGUCAGCAGCCGCGGUAAUACGUAGGGUCCGAGCGUUGUCCGGAAUUACUGGGCGUAAAGCGCGCGCAGGCGGCUUCCCAAGCGCCACGUGAAAGCCCCGGGCUCAACCCGGGAGGGUCGCGGCGAACUGGGAGGCUUGAGGCCGGUAGAGGUGGGUGGAACUCCUGGUGGAGUGGUGAAAUGCGUAGAGAUCAGGAAGAACACCCGUGGCGAAGGCGGCCCACUGGGCCGGUGCUGACGCUGAGGCGCGAAGGCGUGGGGAGCGAACGGGAUUAGAUACCCCGGUAGUCC